CUGGCCUGCCCACUGAUAAGAGUUUUAAGGGCCGCGGUAUUAUGACCGUGCAAAGGUAGCGUAAUCAUUAGGUUUUUAAAUGAGAUCUUGUAUGAAUGGUUGAACAAAAGAGGAGCUGUCUUUAAUAUAGAAUUUGAAUUUAACUUUUAAGUGAGAAGGCUUAAAUAUCCUAGGGGGACGAUAAGACCCUAUAAAGCUUUAUAUAUAAUUAUAUUUAAUUAAUUUAAUAAUAAAAGUUUAAUUAAUUAUUUUAUGUGUUGGGGAGAUAAAAGUAAAAUUUAUAAUAACUGCUAGUGAGAGAGACAAAUAUAAGUGAUUAAUGUGUUAAUAGAUCCUAAUUGUAGAUUAAAAGAUUAAGUUACUUUAGGGAUAACAGUGUAAUUUUUUUUAAGAGUCCAUAUCGAAAAAAAAGUUUGCAACCUCGAUGUUGAAUUAAAUUGUCUGUGUAAUGUAGAUGUUAUACAAGAAGGUCUGUUCGACCUUUAAAUU
rnacentral:rRNA from 1 species